GCCCGCGGAGCCCGGCGGUGGCGGUGCGCGGCCGCCCGCCGAGCCCCUGCUGCUCCGUCGCCCUGUCGAGGUUUGCUGGUCAGUUGCAAAACGCCGGUGUACUUUACUUAGAGCACCUCCCCGGAGCCGGGAUGAGAUGGGCUCCUGGGCAGGUUCAGAGACAAAGGCAGUGGGCAGCACGCAAGCAUGAGGCUUACUGCAGGCUCCAAUGAACCAGACCUUCAAACCUUCAGAAAUCAGGUUAUGGAGAGGUCACCUCGGUCAUUCGUGUGAAUGAGCACUCACAGGAGCACUGACAUCUGAACUGGCAUUUCCAAACUAUUGAUACCAAUCACCGCACACAGCCUCCCUAGGAAAAUGGAAUAUAAAAUAAAAUUAUAAAAAGCCCUCCUCUCUCCCCAUGGACAUUAAGAACUUGUUAAUUCAUUCCUUUAUUGUAAGGCUUGUGCUUCGUUGAUUAAUAUUAAAUUACAGAGUUACUUGUAGAGAAGGUUGGUUCAGCAAAAUGAAGCAAAGCAGAGAACUCUCCAAGACCUAAACCUGCAAAGGAAGAAGGAGCCCAGCGUGUCUGUAACCCUCUCCUCACAGAAACAGAGCUGCAAACAUAUUUUUGAACCACAGGGAAAACCUCUGGACUGUUCCUGGCUGACUCAGAGCCUUUUUCCCAGGUACAGAGCCAAAGCAGUGCAAAGGAUUCCCAAAAGUCUCAUUUCCGCACCAGAAAUGAUUCUUCUGAAGAGCUCGAGGAUAGAGGAGAGAAUAUAUCAGAAGAGAACAAGGUGUCUGUCAGACUGGAGUCACAGCGCUGGGCUCCGUGGAGACUCCAAGCGGCUGUGAUGGAUAUGAGUGUCUCAAAGAGUUGUCAUGAAUCACUCAGUCCAUGUUAUACGACGGACUACUCUGAACUGCAGACAGGUCAGACAUCUUGAAAAAAGGAAAGGCACAAUCAUUUGCUUGUGGUCCUUGUGGCACCUGCAUCCCCAAGUCAGAGGCUGUGCCAUUGUGCCUCCUGGGUGUUCUGUUUUCUGUUACUCUUAAUUUGGAGCUUGCUUCUCUAAAUAUACUCUUUCCUGAUUUGCUUUUUUGUCUAGCUGCCAAGGGUCAUCAGAUUUUUACUCCUUGCUCCUAAUUAUCGUUACAUCCGUGGAGGAGAUUAUUUGAGUAAACUGACUGGGAUUAACAAACCAGCUGUUUAUCAUCACAUCUGAACCCCCAAACUCCUCAGCCUGAAGCUGCCGUAACCUAUGACUUACAAACUUGCCAUCCAGCCAUUCCAGUUACUAAUGCAUCAAUUACAACCCAUGUAAAUUUAUGGCUGGGAUUAAAGCUGAAUGUGUGAUGAUAAAAAGCCUUCCAGAAAGACAAGGGUCCUGGGAUAUUAUGAAUUAUCUGGCAGUCAUUACUACACAGUCCUUUGUGGAUCAUAAUCAACUAGUGAAGUAACGUAGAGGACUUUUCUCCCACUGAAGGCAUGGGGAGCUUUUGCUUCAGAAGGAGUAGAGUCAGGUCCAAGUCCUUAAUUUGUGCAUUUCUCAGUCACUGGCUGCUAGCUGGCACUUGGGUUUGGAAGUCAAGGAUUCUGUCCUGAGAGAAACGUGAAGCACAAGAAAAGACAUCCAAGAGUCGCUGACAUCAUGUGGGUAAAGUUCAGCAUAUUUGGAAAUGAUUGCUAGAUUUUGUUUUGUCCUCUCUCAAGAGCUACACUGUGUUUGAUGCAUGAGACUCUAAUUGAAUUUAAGCAAAUAAACUUCAGGUUACAACAUGAACUCAA